GGUCCAGCCACUAGGAAAGGGACAUCCUUUCAUGCAAGAGUGAUUUAUUUCUAUUUCCUCUCAAGAACCAUAAAUUUGGUGUUACCAGUAUCCAAGUCUAAGCUCUUUCGACUUUAGGCUCUCGGUUCCUCUGCUUUCAGUUAGCAGGUUUUAUUUUGGAGCAGAGAGAGCCUUAGUCGAGUUUUGGAAUGAGCUGAUUUUAGUUUUAUAUGUAUAGAUCCUAAAUUAGCAAUAUGAUGUUUAGAUUUGUAGCAUUGUGUAUUUUAGGAUCUAAUGAAAGUGUAUACCUUAAAGUAUUAAGAGAUGUAUUAUGUGAAAUUCCGAAUUUGAACAA